rnacentral:tRNA from 1 species
GGUGCAAUAGCUCAGUUGGUUGCCUUUGAAAGUUGAGCCGUAGGCGAGGCUUUUAAAGGUCUUGAGAGCAAAGGACUGAAAAUCCUUGUGUCCCCGGUUCGAUUCCUGGUGGCACCACCA